AGCCAGUGGUGUAGCGCCGGGGUGUGUGUGGCGCAAUGCACUAGGUGCAUGCCUGUGCGGGAGCGUGGGCAGGGGCAUGGCAGGGGCGCAGGGCGCACGCGUGCCCCAGGCGCAGUUUCCCCUCACACUGCCCCUGAGUUUAGCCAAUAAGUCUUUUCCCAAAGAUUCUUCAGAAUUGUACCUUUGGGAAUGUGCUGCUUUGCCCAUGAAAUCCUUAGUUCUUCUUGCAGGAAAAACAGUCCCCAGGAUUCCCUGGGUAGAUGAGUUAUAGUGAAUGCACUAUAGAGCUCUUCCAUAGUAUAAUAUUAUUUAGAUGUGAGCUAACUAAAAGCAUCACAUUAUUGAGAGUGAUAUCUAACUGAAAGACAGUGAUGAGAACAAAAGUUGAAUGGCAUUUGGAGAAAUACAAAUGGCACUAAAGAUGAAAUCAGUACAAGCUUAUAGAAGGUAGAAUGCCAGGAGGUCUGUACCAUUUGCUGUGGAAUGAAUAACACAAGAGAUCUUUGCUAGAGUAUUCUGCCCAGAUGCACAGUCCCACCAAGCAGAGCUAUUUAUGCCUGGCUAAGGCUGAGAAUUCUUUCCAUGAGAUGGAGGAGUGAGCAUAUAUUUUUUUGCAUGCAUACAUGCACGAGCACACACAGAGCAACUUGCAACUGAAGGCUUCACUGAGCAAAUUUGCACAGGUCUUCUAUCCCUCUCACCACAAGGAUAAAAAGAUUUCGACUGCAGAUAAUGGUAUGGAUAGGAGCAUCUAAGCCUCAUAAGAACAUAAGAUGAGCCCUGCUGGAUCAGACCAAUGGCCCAUCUAGUCCAGCAGUGCAACAGCCAAUCAGUCGCCUACACUACGCAAAGGGCCAAAACAGACUGCUGAGAAAUGCUUGAUUUUGGUAGACUUAACUGCCAAAUAAUGGGUACAAUCUUCCCAGAAUCCUAUUGAUAUGAAUGGAAAACGAAGCACAGGAUCCAUUCCUCUCACACGAGAAUGCCAUUUCUUCAGAAUUGUGUCCAUUGUUUUUAGGGGUUAAUCUGAUAGGCAAUGGAGGUGACAUCCCAGUCCAAGAGGUCUGUGCUCAUGUAUCUCCCUGCCAUGUUAGCGUAACUUCUUCAGGGCUCCAUCAAGAUAUUUGGUGCGAAAGAUAGAAAUGAUACAGGGUCCUCUCUUUCUUCCCCCCUAAUUGGUGGUGUAUUUCUGGUCUUCCAACACACGUCUCUAGAUGUUGUUGAUGCGACUCUGUUAAACAAAUUUCCUUUCCUUGCAUUCCCUUUUCUUCACUUCCACACACCAUCUCUAUCACUGAAAUGUACUAAGAAUAGGUUUCAGUUUUUAUAGAACUGACUGCAAGGCCACAGAGAUAAGAUCACAUCUUAAGUUCAUGGGGCUGGGCAGCUCAAUCAAAAUUUUGUUCACUGCCUUUGAACAGUGUUCAAAAUCCACUGCCCAAAUUGACUGCACUCAUGGCAGAGCAAGUCAUGUGGAAGCAGAGCUACUCUGGCAUGUAAAGUCAAGUGUUUGAGAUGUUAUGCUUCAGCACAGCACAGCCCAUUCUGUGCAUGCAAAUCAGCUGCAAUCCAAGUUGAACUUAAUGAAACUUGUACUCUGAUCUUAAAGGCAGUCACUUGGAAAUAAGUCUCAUCAAUGAAUGAGCUUGAGUAAAAUCCUGCGGUUUGCAGGCUGUAUCAACUUUGAAAGCAAUUCUCUUUAGCUGUGCUAUGAAUCGUGUGGUUAGAGUACCUUGCAGACAUCUAUAGUGUCAUGCAAGGUGUUAUUCUGACAUUCUGUACAGAUACACAAAAUAAGAUAAAAUCAUAGCGUUGGAGGAGACCACAAGGGACAUCAAAUUCAACCCCCCCUGCAAUGCAGGAACACACAAUCAAAGCACUCUCAACAGAUGUACAUCCAGCCUCUGUUCAAAAACCUCCCAAGAAGGAGACUCCACCACACUCCAAGGCAGUAUAUUCCACUGUCAAACUGCUCUUAUAAUCAGGAAGUUGAAAAUCCUCAUCCUAAGAUGUGUAUGAAUGCUGUUUAUGAAUAGAAGUGGAGAUUUUUAAAAUUUGAGAACUGUGGUAUACCUAUAUAUUAAAUAAACAAAAGGGUGGAUGCAGAUGAGUCACAGGAUCAGCUGUGGUUUUAUGGGAUGCCAAAACAUCAGCCUUCCUUGAAAACUGCAGGAGAAUGUUUCUGGCCUGAUUCUGUUCAGCCUGCAAGCAGUAAAAUUUCUAACAGGCACAGGAGAAACUCUCCUUGGGCAGCAAUUUUCUGACUGAGGUCUCACAGAUACAAUCCUUGGCAUAACAGCCACAAGAGAAAAGGACACUGAAAGAGAAUGAGAAUCUCACAGAAGACUUACAACACACAAUCCUCAGGUGCCAGCAUGAGUUCUCUCCUAUAGGGCAACCAGGAACUGCUCUGAGAUAGGGAGAGAGAGAGAGUUGCUUCUGUGCAGGUGACAAGAAAAACAGCAGCUUCACCGGACAGUGUGUGCUAGCAGUGCCCACUCCUCCAGACUGUGCCAUCAUGUGACUGCCAUCUGUGCCUUGCGAGCUCUGCCCAGUUCUGCGUGGGCAAUUCCUUGGAGCCGUGCCUGUAAAAGAGUGCUACAGUAGAAGUCUGGAAGCUGCACACAAUCAGAUUAACGGUUUCCCACACACACCUACCAAGUCUGCCAAAUGGCGUGCUAUUUUCUUGGAGCCACUUAACAUUGUGUUUGCCAGUUUGCUGAGAAAAGCAGCAGACUGGAGUUAGAAAGGAGUGCCAGGUCUGAAAGCGUUGAAGACUGAUGUUGUUCUACAGCCCAUGUGUAGAGAGCUCUAGCUGGACCUUGGGUGUUCUCAUUCCAUUGGAUCUGAUUCCUGCAGGUUGUUUCAACUGAUGUCACACAGCCAAAAAACAAAACAAAACCCAGCUCCCAAGGGUGGAUUGGUUCUUAACCCCUGGACAGCACUACACGGCCUCAUACUUCGAUAAAUUGCCUAAGAAUUCU